UUUUUAUUUUCUGAUUUCUAUUUUGUUUUAUUACUUUUAAUUCCAUUUUAUUUCUAAAAUUCAUAUCUCUCUCAUUAUUGGUCCAAAAAUUAUGGGACCAAUUGCAUUAUUUCUCUUUUAAUUUCUAAUUUAUAAAAAUGAUUUUUAAUAUUUUUUAUUUUAUCAUUUUCUAUUUUUUAGUAAUUUUCUCUUUUUUGGUUAUUUUUAAUUCAUUUUAAAUAGUUUUUGAGAUCCAAA
rnacentral:lncRNA from 1 species